AUAGCAACAAAUUUACUAUUUAUAAGAAUCUAAAUACAUCUCCAGGAAAAGAAAUGAAGUAAGUGUGGCACUUCUUUAGAAAAAAAGAUGCUGUCUGUCAUGGUUUUAUUAGGAAACAGAAGUGAUAUACAGCAGAAAGCUCCACUUGAGAGAGGAACCUGUGAGGUAUUCGGAAGUUAUAAUGUCCUACAUUACUGUGAAGAUCUGUUUCCGAUAAAACAAAAGUGCAGAUACCUACCUGACUGCUUCUUCUUCCGUUAAUAGUAGUAUUUUAUAGAUUAUAUGUUUUGUAUUUGUCUGUAAAGUAACAUUUCUUCGUUUUUUGUUUAAAACUAUCAAUGUCUUAUGGUUAAUAUUAUAAGCUUUAUACCUUACACAGUUCCUAAAAGUCUGUUUUAUCAGAUUAUUUUCUUUAUAUGUACACAACAGACACAAGUUCAGUAAAAUUGUAAGUUUAUUACAAUAUAAAAAAUUGUAUAUGUUAUAUCGUGCGUGAGUAUUCAAAAUUCAAUUACUAGAUUUUAAUAGUUUAUAAACAACAGGAACAAAAUCUGUGAAGUCGGGUUUACCCACGGUGAUUACUUACUCCUUUUUUUUGUACUGUAAUGUUUUCAAUUUAUUAUUGUUAAAAUGCAUGUGUUAUACAAUUUUAACAACAAUAAAAAUCAUGCCCCGUUUUCAAGACUCAAUUACCAGAUUUUACUAGUUUUGUCUGUUUACGAUAGGAACAAAAUGUGCGAAGUUGGGUGUACCCACGGUGGUUACUUACCCCUUUUUUUGGGUUUGAAAGUUUUCAAUUUCUUAUUGUUGCAUAUGAUAUAUCAUGCACAAUUUUUAAGAUUCAAUUACCAGAUUUUGAUAGUUAUGUAUGUAGACAACAGAAACAAAAUCUGUAAAGGCGGAUUGAAACCACGGUGGUUGCUUACCCCUUUUUUUGGACUUGAAAGUUUUCGAUUUCUUAUUGUUAAAAUUGCAUAUGAUAUAUCAUGCACAUUUUUUAAGAUUCAAUACCAGAUUUUGACAGUUAUGAAUGUACACAACAGGAACAAAAUCUGUAAAGUCGGAUUGAAACCACGGUGGUUGCUUACACUUUUUUUUUGUACUCGAAAGUUUUCAAUUCCUUAUAGUUAAAAUUGCAACUCUUAUAUCAUGCACAAUUACCAGAUUUUGAUAGUUAUGUAUGUAUACAACAGGAACGAAAUCUGCGAAGUUGGGUUUACCCACGGUGGUUACUUACCCCUUUUUUAUGGACUUGAAAGUUUUCAAUUCUUAUUGUUAAAAUUGCAUAUGAUAUAUCAUGCACAAUUUUUAAGAUUUAAUUACCAGAUUUUGAUAGUUAUGUAUGUAGACAACAGGAACAAAAUCUGCCGAGUUGGAUUUACCCACGGUGGUUAUUUACCCCUUUUUUUUGGACUUGAAAGUUUUCAAUUUCUUAUUGUUACAAUUGCAUGUGUUAUAUCAUGCACAGUUUUCAAGAUUCAGUUACCAGAUUUUAAUAGUUUUGUCUGUAUACGGUAGGAACAAAAAUUGCUAAGUUGGGUGUAUCCACGGUGGUUACUUUUUCCUUUUUUUGGACUUGAAAGUUUUCAAUUUCUUAUUGUGUAAUAUCAAUAUUAUAUCUUGUGAAAUAUAUUUGAAUUACUGUACAUUAUGAUCUAAUGUUUUAUUAAAUGUAUUUGAGUUAUUACUAUACAGUGUAACUUAUACCGUAAUGUAAAAUUGUAAUGAAACUGGAAUAUUUUUAAUCAAUAUUGUAUCGUGCAUUUCAAUAUAGAUUUCGUUUAACAAC